UUGCUUUCCUCCCGCAUUAUAAAAGCGAGGCAGUGUCGCGAGGUGCGUUUCUUGGUGCGCCUUGGUCUUUCUGCGUCCGUGAAGUCCAAUGUGCCUCCCGGCCGCCGGGUGAAGACGAAGAGGAGAGUGCCCUCCGCGCUGGCUGAGAAGAAGCGUACCAGUCGGGCGCUGCGGCGCCGUCCAUGGCGAGAGAGAGCGUCUGCAGGCCAGCCGAGAGCCCGAGACCAGUCUGCUCGUGCCGGUGUGGGUGACGGGCGUUGCGUCGUGUCCAAGAGCAAGGUACGCCGUACGCUGAAGCUGCUAUGCCUUUUGGCCCUGCGUCGUGUCUUUCGACGUUGGCUGGUGGCCCUGGCACCACGCCGUGGAGCGGUGGAGCCGCCGGUGGGCCGGGACGGGAGGCAGGCCGCCGCCGGGUGCUCAGCUCAGCUCUGUCCUAGCGCGCGCCAUCCAUCGAUCUCCGCCACACACCACCAACUGCAAGCUGGCUGUUGA
rnacentral:misc_RNA from 1 species